rnacentral:rRNA from 1 species
AUUGAACGCUGGCGGUAUGCUUAACACAUGCAAGUCGAACGGCAGCACGGUCUGUAGUAAUACAGUUGGGUGGCGAGUGGCGGACGGGUGAGUAAUACGCAGGAAUCUGCCCUAUAGAGGGGGAUAACUCGAGGAAACUCGAGCUAAUACCGCAUAGUCUCUACGGAGUAAAGCUGGGGCAACCUGGCGCUAUAGGAGGAGCCUGCGUCUGAUUAGCUAGUUGGUGGGGUAAAGGCCUACCAAGGCGACGAUCAGUAGGUGGUCUGAGAGGAUGAUCACCCACACUGGGACUGAGACACGGCCCAGACUCCUACGGGAGGCAGCAGUGGGGAAUAUUGGACAAUGGGGGCAACCCUGAUCCAGCAAUACCGCGUGUGUGAAGAAGGCCUUAGGGUUGUAAAGCACUUUAGGCGGGGAAGAAGGUAUGUAUUUUAAGAGAUAACAUAUUUGACGGUACCCGCAGAAUAAGCACCGGCUAACUCUGUGCCAGCAGCCGCUGUAA